UAGGAACCGUACCCCAAACCGACACAGGUGGUCGGGUAGAGAAUACCAAGGCGCUUGAGAGAACUCGGGUGAAGGAACUAGGCAAAAUGGCACCGUAACUUCGGGAGAAGGUGCGCCGGCUAGGGUGAAGGAUUUACUCCGUAAGCUCUGGCUGGUCGAAGAUACCAGGCCGCUGCGACUGUUUAUUAAAAACACAGCACUCUGCAAACACGAAAGUGGACGUAUAGGGUGUGACGCCUGCCCGGUGCCGGAAGGUUAAUUGAUGGGGUUAGCGCAAGCGAAGCUCUUGAUCGAAGCCCCGGUAAACGGCGGCCGUAACGAUAACGGUCCUAAGGUAGCGAAAUUCCUUGUCGGGUAAGUUCCGACCUGCACGAAUGGCGUAACGAUGGCGGCGCUGUCUCCACCCGAGACUCAGUGAAAUUGAAAUCGCUGUGAAGAUGCGGUGUAUCCGCGGCUAGACGGAAAGACCCCGUGAACCUUUACUGUAGCUUUGCACUGGACUUUGAGCCUGCUUGUGUAGGAUAGGUGGGAGGCUUUGAAGCGUGGACGCCAGUUCGCGUGGAGCCAUCCUUGAAAUACCACCCUGGCAUGCUUGAGGUUCUAACUCUGGUCCGUAAUCCGGAUCGAGGACAGUGUAUGGUGGGCAGUUUGACUGGGGCGGUCUCCUCCUAAAGAGUAACGGAGGAGUACGAAGGUGCGCUCAGACCGGUCGGAAAUCGGUCGCAGAGUAUAAAGGCAAAAGCGCGCUUGACUGCGAGACAGACACGUCGAGCAGGUACGAAAGUAGGUCUUAGUGAUCCGGUGGUUCUGUAUGGAAGGGCCAUCGCUCAACGGAUAAAAGGUACUCCGGGGAUAACAGGCUGAUACCGCCCAAGAGUUCAUAUCGACGGCGGUGUUUGGCACCUCGAUGUCGGCUCAUCACAUCCUGGGGCUGAAGCCGGUCCCAAGGGUAUGGCUGUUCGCCAUUUAAAGUGGUACGCGAGCUGGGUUUAGAACGUCGUGAGACAGUUCGGUCCCUCUCUGCCGUGGACGUUUGAGAUUUGAGAGGGGCUGCUCCUAGUACGAGAGGACCGGAGUGGACGAACCUCUGGUGUUCCGGUUGUCACGCCAGUGGCAUUGCCGGGUAGCUAUGUUCGGAAAAGAUAACCGCUGAAAGCAUCUAAGCGGGAAACUUGCCUCAAGAUGAGAUCUCACUGGGAACUUGAUUCCCCUGAAGGGCCGUCGAAGACUACGACGUUGAUAGGCUGGGUGUGUAAGCGUUGUGAGGCGUUGAGCUAACCAGUACUAAUUGCCCGUGAGGCUUGAUC
rnacentral:rRNA from 1 species